rnacentral:lncRNA from 1 species
GCGGGCAGCCGCCAGGGCGAGGCGACCCGGUGCGGGGGGACUCCCAUGGAGCGCGGACUCCUAAGGAAGUCGCUGGGAAUCCCACCGGCUGUACCGCAGGGCGUUAGUACCUAGAUGGCUUCGGUGCCCCCAAGCGAUGGGCUCAAGCUACAGGGCGGGCUUUGCACCUGGCCUUCUCAGCUCUGAGGCAGGCAGUGGGCAGCUUCGCCUCCACCCUCCGUCCAGCGCCCUUCCCAUGGGGCCAUCCGCCUCUCCCUAAGGCACUAAAAACCAGUGGAGGAGUCAGGCCAUGUUGGCAAAAAGGGCUCGGGCAGCAGCCCCAGACCUAUAGUCCUAAAUAUCCAUGUACCCAGCCCUGGGGUCGCGAGCCAUCUCAGGGACGACCCGAUUCCAGCGGAUGGAGAAGUUCCCUGAAAACACCUGCCUGGGAGGAGAGACGAGGGAACGAGAUUGGGUAACAGCUUGCAGCGUGAUAACACCAUGCAGUGUGAGGGAGCUGUAUGCAGUGGAGCCGCAGGGGUUAGUCAGGCCUCGCCCCUAAAUCUGCCUCUUAAAUAAGAGUCCGUUUCAGCCAAACCUGCCUUUUCCAGUUCCGUGGAGGUCAGUCUGCACAGCCAAUCCCUGACAGUGCUUUACCAUGGAACUGAAACCAUGAAAAGUGAAACUGCAAAUGGGAGAGACUGCUGUAUAGUCACUGAAAAAUUAAUGGAUGAGCUCAACAGCAAAUUAGACACAACUGAAACCUUGGACCCAUGUGUGGAAGAUGACAGCAUCACCAACUGGAGGGUGCCUGGAUCCCUGAGUCACCACUUGAAGCAAAAAG